rnacentral:lncRNA from 1 species
AAAGCCGCUUGGAUGCGCCUUAAAGAAUAUUUAUUUACUCAUUAAUUCUUUUAUUUCUAGGUGCGUGCCUACAAUUCCCGUAAGGCAGCUGUUAUUUCUUACGUUGGUUCGUGGGAGCUCCGACCCAAAGCAAUUUGCUGAGCAUCAAACCACCUCGGCAUCGGCACCGGGGAGCCCCGCCGGGCCUGGAAAUCCCGCUUGCCUGCAAGUGCACAACGUACGGCCAAUCUCCAUAAAGCGCAGUGCCACAGUUGAAUACAAACACUCCUCAGGUCCUGCUGUGACUUGGCACACCCCGUUGGACAGCUGGAAACUGAGAGGAAGGGAGCUGCUGCCAAUAACGCGGUACAGGGGAUUUCAGUGCAAAGUUUCCUGGAAACAGGCGGUGACUGGCAUUAUUAUUUUGCUGGAGGGUAUUGGUGUGAUAUGUCAGAUGUAUACAACGAUCCGUGGUUGCCCUUGUUUUAUGUGAGACAUGAUAUAUGGUAAAGCAGAGCACCUUUCUGGGACGAUCUGUGCGCUUGGGAUGAGAAUUAAAUCCUGAACAAAAUGAACAGAACUCAUCGCAAGCUUACGUAUGGCCUCCUGUAAUUCUGGGAAUCAGAUACUGCCCUAAGUGACAUUUUAUGACGCGUACGAAAAAGACCUAGCUUGCUAAGGGCCACGAUUGUGUAUCUCACACCUCUGCAGCUGCGGUUUAGUGUAGAUAGAUUGCAUACAGUAACUCUUUCAUUUUCCUUGGAGCCACUCGCGAUGAAGUGCUACUGGCGAUCAUUAAAACAAGAUUGCGCUUUUUAUGUAGCUUGAAUACAUGAAUGGUGCUUAUCUGCAUUCCGGGGUAAAGAAUGCUUUAAGGACAAUUCGCGGAUGUAAAUGAAACAGCUAAAUUAGGACUUGGCACGCUCUGUCAUAAUUAGCCUAAUGUGAUAUAAUUUUU